rnacentral:rRNA from 1 species
AUUGAACGCUGGCGGAAUGCUUUACACAUGCAAGUCGAGCGGCAGCGCGGGGCAACCUGGCGGCGAGCGGCGAACGGGUGAGUAAUGCAUCGGAACAUGUCCAUGUCGUGGGGGAUAGCCCGGCGAAAGCCGGAUUAAUACCGCAUACGCCCGAGAGGGGAAAGUGGGGGACCGCAAGGCCUCACGCGAUUGGGUUGGCCGAUGUCCGAUUAGCUUGUUGGUGAGGUAAAGGCUUACCAAGGCGAUGAUCGGUAGCUGGUCUGAGAGGAUGAUCAGCCACACUGGGACUGAGACACGGCCCAGACUCCUACGGGAGGCAGCAGUGGGGAAUUUUGGACAAUGGGGGCAACCCUGAUCCAGCCAUUCCGCGUGAGUGAAGAAGGCCUUCGGGUUGUAAAGCUCUUUUGUCCGGAGCGAAACGGUGGCGGUGAAUAUCCGCCACUACUGACGGUACCGGAAGAAUAAGCACCGGCUAACUACGUGCCAGCAGCCGCAGUAAGAU